UACGUAGGGCGCAAGCGUUGUCCGGAAUUAUUGGGCGUAAAGAGCUCGUAGGCGGCCUGUUGCGUCCGCUGUGAAAUCCCGGGGCUUAACCCCGGGCCUGCAGUGGAUACGGGCAGGCUGGAGGCAGGCAGGGGAGAACGGAACUCCUGGUGUAGCGGUGGAAUGCGCAGAUAUCAGGAGGAACACCGGUGGCGAAGGCGGGAUCCUGGGCCAGUACUGACGCUGAGGUGCGAAAGCGUGGGGAGCAAACAGG
rnacentral:rRNA from 1 species